rnacentral:ncRNA from 1 species
UAUAUUUGCCGCCUGAUUACCAAAGCGGUAAUCUGUACAUAAAAAAUCAUUUAAAAUAAUAUUGGCAUG